ensembl:lincRNA 4930544I03Rik RIKEN cDNA 4930544I03 gene
AGGCACAGGGCAUGUACAUCAGCAUGGUCUCUAGCAUCAACAUGGCCCACAGAAUCAACAUGGUCUCCAGUGUGACUACAGACCAUGGACACCUUCAUGGCCCUCAGUGGCAGUACAGGUCAUGGACAUCAACAUGGUCUCCAGCAGCAACAAGGCCCCUGACAUCAGCACAGCUUCAGAUUCCAUCAAUCUCUUUGGUUACCAGCUACACCAUUCAGCAGCAAGCAAAAGUGCAUGUGACUUCCUAGAGCAGAGAACGUGUAGUUAGAGCAGUCAUGAUCCAGCCUAAGAGGACAGAACCAGCAACAAAGACCCAGACACGACCCCGGCACACAAAGCAUCUGCUUUUAAUUUUAUGUCUUCUUGAACUUAAUGUCCAUCCUCUUGAAAUAGGGUCCAGAGGAGUUCCACGAACAGCAAAUGUGAGAUGGAGAAAGAGAUCUGCCAUCUCUUUCCUAAGAACUGAUGGAAGAAUCUUCUUAUUUGCAAGACAAAGACCUUGGAUUUUCAAAGACAAUGAACAUCAAGCCUUAGGAGCCUCCUAUUUUCAGCAACACCAGUGCUGCCCCACUUUCUGGGUCCAAAGAGAGCAGAGGAGGGAGAAGGAAGCACACUCAGCUUCGGCAGGUUAUGCAGAUGCCUGAUGACACAUAGAUGGCCUACUUCUCAGGCAGGGGCAGCAGCAUCAAUCACCCUCACUUGAACUAUUAGAGCUGUCAGCCUCUUGUUUAUAGAUGACAAUUCAAGGGUAGCUUUCCUUGAUUGGUGAAAUUCCCUCAAUUAAAUGAGCACAAUACUCAGAAUCAGAGGCAGAAGCAAAAAUACUCAGAAGCAGAGGUGAGUGGCCUCACCUGUUAACAGGAGAAAGAGUAACUUUUGACAUGAAAACUACUUAGAUCUGAAAGUCAAGCUGUCAUUUUUUUUAGCCUAAAGUACAUUUUAUACACAUACACACACACACACACACACACACACACACACACACACACACACACACACACACACACACGUAUAUGCAGCACAUGUAUGUAGACAUAUAUAUAUGCAGUGCAAAUAUAUAUAUGCAGACAUAUAUGUAUACAUAUAUACAUAUGUAUAUAUGUAUUCUACAUAUUUAUGUAGAAUAUAAAUUUUUCUGGUAUCAUUAAAAUUUUAAAUAU